rnacentral:tRNA from 1 species
UCCCUGGUGGUCCAGUGGCUAAGACUGCGCUUCCAAAGCAGGCGGUCCAGGUUCCAUCCCUGGUCAGGGAG